CCUACGGGGGGCAGCAGUGGGGAAUAUUGCACAAUGGGCGCAAGCCUGAUGCAGCCAUGCCGCGUGUGUGAAGAAGGCCUUCGGGUUGUAAAGCACUUUCAGCGGGGAGGAAGGCGUUAAGGUUAAUAACCUUGGCGAUUGACGUUACCCGCAGAAGAAGCACCGGCUAACUCCGUGCCAGCAGCCGCGGUAAUACGGAGGGUGCAAGCGUUAAUCGGAAUUACUGGGCGUAAAGCGCACGCAGGCGGUCUGUCAAGUCGGAUGUGAAAUCCCCGGGCUCAACCUGGGAACUGCAUUCGAAGCUGGCAGGCUAGAGUCUUGUAGAGGGGGGUAGAAUUCCAGGUGUAGCGGUGAAAUGCGUAGAGAUCUGGAGGAAUACCGGUGGCGAAGGCGGCCCCCUGGACAAAGACUGACGCUCAGGUGCGAAAGCGUGGGGAGCAAACAGGAUUAGAUACCCGUGUAGUC
rnacentral:rRNA from 1 species